UUAAAUUGGCUAUAGAUGAAUUGGAGUUAGUAGUUGGCUAUACUAUUAACCUUGCUCUUAGAGCAAGUUUAAUAGUAUAGCCCACUACUAGCUCCAAAUCAUCUAUAACUA
rnacentral:pre_miRNA from 1 species